UGGGGAAUAUUGCACAAUGGGCGAAAGCCUGAUGCAGCGACGCCGCGUGCGGGAUGAAGGCCUUCGGGUUGUAAACCGCUUUUAAUUGGGAGCAAGCGAGAGUGAGUGUACCUUUUGAAUAAGCACCGGCUAACUACGUGCCAGCAGCCGCGGUAAUACGUAGGGUGCAAGCGUUAUCCGGAAUUAUUGGGCGUAAAGAGCUCGUAGGCGGUUUGUCACGCCUGGUGUGAAAGUCCAUCGCUUAACGGUGGAUCUGCGCCGGGUACGGGCAGGCUAGAGUGCAGUAGGGGAGAUUGGAAUUCCCGGUGUAACGGUGGAAUGUGUAGAUAUCGGGAAGAACACCAAUGGCGAAGGCAGAUCUCUGGGCUGUUACUGACGCUGAGGAGCGAAAGCAUGGGGAGCGAACAGGAUUAGAUACCCUGGUAGUCCAUGCCGUAAACGGUGGAUGCUGGAUGUGGGGCCCUUCCACGGGCUCCGUGUCGGAGCUAACGCGUUAAGCAUCCCGCCUGGGGAGUACGGCCGCAAGGCUAAAGC
rnacentral:rRNA from 1 species